ACUAGGAUUAGAUACCCUACUAUAAAUAAAUAAUCUCUAGUAAUAACUGAUUUUCAAAAAAUUAAAAAAAAUUGACGGCUCUUUUAAACUCUUAAAGGAAUUUAUUUUAUAAAGGAUUCAACACCAAAACCUUACUUUAUUUUGUAAAUCUCAGCUUAUAUACCUCUAUCUAAAAUUUAAUAAACAAUUUUAUUUUACAAACCUAUUAAAGAAAAAAAUUAAGUCAAGGUGUAGCUAAUAAUAAAGAAAAAAAUAAAUUAUAUAAUUAAUUAAUUAUCUUUUUAAUUAAUGAAACUUAAACAAAAAGAAAAAUUUAAAAGUAAAUAUAAAUAUAUCUAAUUAUAUUGAACAUACCUUCAUAAAAAGUGUACAUAUCGCCCGUCACUCUUUUAAAUAAUAAAGAUAAGUCGUAACAUAGUA
rnacentral:rRNA from 1 species